UGGUCAGACCAUAGAUAAUAUAGAAGACAGCGCGCUAGCGUAUCUAGUCUGUGUAUAUCUAUGGUCGGCAGGUCUGGUAGCAUCUGUGGCUGCUGUUGAUCUUGUUUUUGGAGUAAAACACGAUGUUCAGAGGGAGAUGAUGCCACAUCUGGUCCAGCUGAUGGAAGGUCUUGAAGUUCUCUGACUGGCCUCGACUGAAGAUGGUCGUCUCACUGGAUUUAAGGUUCAGAUGCUCAGUAACAAACUCCACCAAUGAGCCAACAGGGAAGCUGUAGGUUUAUUAAAUGUUACUAUGAAGGUUUCGCUGUUUUUCUUUGUGAAUGCAAUGUGCUCCAACUGAAAGUUGAAUUAGAACUUAGAAGUAAAUCAUUUCAUCUGAAAGGAUCUAGUUGCAUUAAUAAUCUCAUAACAUUCUAAUUUUUAUUCCAGUCUUGGUUGGAAAUAGAAUCUCUGUAUUGAUUCAGGUAAAAACUGAACUUCACAGCAUGUUGGAGCAAAACAACCAGAUGAAAACUGUGAUGGUGUUGGAUUGUCAGACAGUAAUGUUGCAGCUCAAAGCAGCUUUUCUAUCUCAGUUCAUUCUGACAUUCAGCUAUGAAUCAACACAGCAGAUGGUGAUCCAUGCUGUGGAAGUCUCACAUCUCCUGAUUUAAUGGAGCUGCUUUGCACUUUUUACACUGUUUAUUCACCAACACUUUAUUUAAUAAAAGUCCCAUCUAGUUUUUUAUGAGGAAUGUGAUGUUUUAAUUUCUCUGUGAAUAACUGCAGUCUAAUGGAACAGCUGGAGUUGUAACAUCUGUCCUGAUAUUGAUCAUGAAGUAUUGAUCAGAAUACUUAUGGUUAGCAGUCAUCCCUGAAGUUUUACAUUAAAAUCUUUACUUGUGUUGUGAACUUUGGUAAGAAGCAGAAACAUUAGCGUUGCCAUGGAUACAUGAGUGUUAAAUUCUGUCCAUGUUUCCAUUUUGGGAAAUUCAGUCCAGUUCCAGAAUGUGGAGGAAUUUAGUCUCAUCAUCACAGACAACAAAUAUUAUCUGAAAGUCGGGUUGUUCUUGUUUAUCAGCACAAUACAAAAAGAUUAAUGUUAGAAAUAUUCCAGUUAAGACCCUAGAAUAUCAUGAUUUAUGUAAAUUUACCUCAAUAAUAUGAAUGUUCAGGUUAAGAUUGUACAGUGAUAUUUAUUAUGCAAGUUUAGCUGAUUAAAGUUUAUGACGCUGCACUAAAAUAUUAUUUAAACUGACAUCAUUAUUAUAAUAUUUAGGGUCAGACCCUUCAGUAUUGAGAUUAAGAAAUCAAAUAUUCUAUAAAAUGUAAAUACACUGAACUCAUUUGGAUAUAUUUAAGUGAGACUCUACAAUAUUAUUUGACACAAAUCUAUCUAAAUCAAAAUUUUAAUAAUUUUUCACGCCAAACAUUUACUGGACUGAUUUAAAUAUUAAAAUCACUCCUUUCUAAUCCUCUGCUGUACGUUCAAACCUGAGGCCUUAAAUAGAAACACACAAGUAUCUGAUUGAAGGAACUUCUGCAGAGUCCUGGUUCCAGAACAUGAUGAUAGAAUUAUAGACAAACUUUAACAAAAGCUGCCUGAGAGUUUACAAGUUUUUAUGUUGGAUUUCUUCAGUAAUUUAAUGAGCGUUAUCAGUAAUAAUCAAGUGUUCAUUUGAUGAACUUGAUUUCCUAAAACAUACAGAAUUGGAGCUCAUAUCUUUGGCUGCUGUAAAGUUUCUGCUCCUUCAAAGUUCACAACACAAUGAAUUAAUUCCUAAAACACUCUCAAUGCUGGAGAACGUUUGAUGCUGAAGCAGUGAUCAGUUUUUCUGUUUCUUCUCUGGAGAUGCACAAGGAGGGACGUCUGCAGAGACUGAGAAAGAGUCUCACCACAUCCUGACAUGAGGAAAAAGACUUUAUUGAAGACUACAAUGAGAAAAACUAUCAGACAGCAGACGGCUGCAUUCAAGAGAGGAAGACCAUCAAACAUCCACGUCAGCUGAUGGAGGUCCAAGAGUCUCACCAAACAACCAACCUACAGAGUGAAGACCUCAAAUCUGAUUGGACGGCCUCCUAUUCAGCCACAUGUGUGAACAAAUGCCUCUAAGUUGAUUUGUUUUCUAAAAUAAAUCUAGUUUGAGUCCUAAUCGAUGCCUGUGUUUGCUUCUUUACACUGCUGUUAACAGUUUAGGCUGUUAGAUUGUUCCAGAUAAGACAAGUACAAGAUUCUUCAGAGCUGUUCUACCACGAGCCUGACAGGAAGAACUCCAACAGCUACUGAAUGUUCCUGUGGUCCCCUCAAGGCUACAGGAGGAGUCCUACGAGGACGAGUCGGUCCACCUGAUGCAGGCCAGUCACUGCUGUUCAAAGCCAACACAGACUACGUGGACUUCUACUGGACCACAUGGAGGCCUUCAAACCGGACCAACAAGUUCACCGACUCCCCGACUCGUGGGUCUGAGGACGCUGCCGAGCCUCGGUCCAGCCGGCCUCCUGUCUGUGGAUGUUUGAGUGCUGAGAGGUUUGUGGAUGCAUGUGAACAUUCUGUGUUGAAACAGCAGCUUUUAACUCAGUAACGCCAGGAAAAACCAAGAGCUCCUUUAUUUGUGACUUCCACUAAAAAAUUGAUGAAAAUAAGUUUGCCAGGGUUCUGACUGAUAACGGAUUAUUAAAUAAUGAAAGUAAUCGUUUAAAUAUUCCUUUAAACAGUCCUUUUAGGUCUACAUUUCCUUUACACUGACUUCUUGGUACAUGUACAAGUAUUUUGGGUGGAAUAUACCAUUAAGCCUGAUGUUCAAGGGUUCUUCUGGGAAUAUACCAUUAAACCAACAUUUUAGGUAAAUGUUCCAGGAUGUUGGGUAGAAUAUACCAUCAGAUCAACCUUUUAGGUCUACAUUGGAAGAUUUUGGAGUAGAAUAUUACUCCAAACCAUCCUUUAGGUCUACAUUUAAGGUGGAAUACUCCUUUACACCAAGAUUUUUUGGUCUAAGAUUUUGGAUGGAAUACUCGGUUAAACCAACAUUUUAGGUGCAUGUCCAAGGAUUUUUGGUGGAAUGUUCCUUUAAGGUGGAUGUUUGAGGACCUUGUAGGUGGAAUACUUCCUGAAACCAACCUUUUAGGUCAACAUUCAAAGAUUUAAGGUGGAAUAUUCCUUUAAAUCAACCUAAAUUUCAUAUUUUGUUCAUUAUCAAGUGAGAAACCUCAAUCCAGACUCCUCAUAAUGACGUUUGAGAUUUAUGCUGCUGUUAUUUGUUUAGUCCAGACUAAAUGACAGAAAUCCACAACUGUAAUUUAUUUCAGGACUCGGUUAUUAAAUGUCAAAACAAUCCAUGUGACUCUAAAAACUCAACAGCUGUACAAACUCUAAGAUUAAACUCUCUACAAGGAUCCAAAAUAAGUUGGACUUCUACAUGAGAGCUUUAAUUAUUCUUCAUCUACUUCCUGAAAAGUUUGGUCAAUAAAAAAGACAAAAACUAAUAUUUUCAGCUGAACUAAAGACAGACUGUGAU
ensembl:lncRNA